ACUUGGUAACAGGUGCUAAUACCGUAUAACAACAAAAUCCGCAUGGAUUUUGUUUGAAAGGUGGCUUCGGCUAUCACUUCUGGAUGAUCCCGCGGCGUAUUAGUUAGUUGGUGAGGUAAAGGCCCACCAAGACGAUGAUACGUAGCCGACCUGAGAGGGUAAUCGGCCACAUUGGGACUGAGACACGGCCCAAACUCCUACGGGAGGCAGCAGUAGGGAAUCUUCCACAAUGGACGAAAGUCUGAUGGAGCAAUGCCGCGUGAGUGAAGAAGGGUUUCGGCUCGUAAAACUCUGUUGUUAAAGAAGAACACCUUUGAGAGUAACUGUUCAAGGGUUGACGGUAUUUAACCAGAAAGCCACGGCUAACUACGUGCCAGCAGCCGCGGUAAUACGUAGGUGGCAAGCGUUGUCCGGAUUUAUUGGGCGUAAAGCGAGCGCAGGCGGUUUUUUAAGUCUGAUGUGAAAGCCUUCGGCUUAACCGGAGAAGUGCAUCGGAAACUGGGAGACUUGAGUGCAGAAGAGGACAGUGGAACUCCAUGUGUAGCGGUGGAAUGCGUAGAUAUAUGGAAGAACACCAGUGGCGAAGGCGGCUGUCUAGUCUGUAACUGACGCUGAGGCUCGAAAGCAUGGGUAGCGAACAGGAUUAGAUACCCUGGUAGUCCAUGCCGUAAACGAUGAGUGCUAAGUGUUGGAGGGUUUCCGCCCUUUCAGUGCUGCAGCUAACGCAUUAAAGCACUCCGCCCUGGGGAGUACGACCGCAAGGUUGAAACUC
rnacentral:rRNA from 2 species